GCAAGUCGAACGAUGAAGCCCUUCGGGGUGGAUUAGUGGCGAACGGGUGAGUAACACGUGGGCAAUCUGCCCUUCACUCUGGGACAAGCCCUGGAAACGGGGUCUAAUACCGGAUACCACUCCUGCCUGCAUGGGCGGGGGUUGAAAGCUCCGGCGGUGAAGGAUGAGCCCGCGGCCUAUCAGCUUGUUGGUGGGGUAAUGGCCUACCAAGGCGACGACGGGUAGCCGGCCUGAGAGGGCGACCGGCCACACUGGGACUGAGACACGGCCCAGACUCCUACGGGAGGCAGCAGUGGGGAAUAUUGCACAAUGGGCGAAAGCCUGAUGCAGCGACGCCGCGUGAGGGAUGACGGCCUUCGGGUUGUAAACCUCUUUCAGCAGGGAAGAAGCGAAAGUGACGGUACCUGCAGAAGAAGCGCCGGCUAACUACGUGCCAGCAGCCGCGGUAAUACGUAGGGCGCAAGCGUUGUCCGGAAUUAUUGGGCGUAAAGAGCUCGUAGGCGGCUUGUCACGUCGGAUGUGAAAGCCCGAGGCUUAACCUCGGGUCUGCAUUC
rnacentral:rRNA from 2 species